AACCAUAGAAACCUGCGGAGUACCUGCGGAAGGAUCAUUACCGAGUUUACAACUCCCAAACCCCUGUGAACAUACCUAUACGUUGCCUCGGCGGAUCAGCCCGCGCCCUGUAAAAAGGGACGGCCCGCCCGAGGACCCUAAACUCUGUUUUUAGUGGAACUUCUGAGUAAAACAAACAAAUAAAUCAAAACUUUUAACAACGGAUCU
rnacentral:misc_RNA from 1 species